UGAAUCAAUGAUGACAAAGUACCAGGAAACAAGCAUAAAGGUUAACAAUUUUGCGUACCUGAGACCUAUU
rnacentral:snoRNA from 1 species